UACGAAGGGGGCUAGCGUUGUUCGGAUUUACUGGGCGUAAAGCGCACGUAGGCGGAUCGUUAAGUCGGGGGUGAAAUCCUGGAGCUCAACUCCAGAACUGCCUUCGAUACUGGCGAUCUUGAGUCCGGAGGAGGUGAGUGGAACUCCUAGUGUAGAGGUGGAAUUCGUAGAUAUUAGGAAGAACACCAGUGGCGAAGGCGGACUCACUGGUCCGGUACUGACGCUGAGGUGCGAAAGCGUGGGGAGCAAACAGGG
rnacentral:rRNA from 1 species